CAGGAGCUGGUUAAGGCCAGAGUUUUAAGUGUUCCCAGGCAGCUCUCCCGGGCUCUGAGGAUCAGCUCAGCCCGCUGGAAGGGCAGCUCACCUGGGAUUGAAGGUGUCAGCCAGGAGGAGGCUCUUUAUUUUGCUGGGAAGCAGUGAAAUGGAUUUUCAAGCAAUCCCUCCUUUCACCCGCUGAUUCGUUGCUGGUAACAUGUAUUUAAUUCCAGAGCAGCGUGUUCCCAGAGUGUCUGGAAGGAGGCCAGUUUAGCAGUGCCAGGUGAACUGCUGGGAUUAAAUGGAGUGAUCUCCUGGUGGAACGGGGCAUGGAUGAACAUUCCUCCUCACUGGAUGAUUUCCCCUGCCUGAUGUGUCACCAGGAGCUCCUGGCCUGCUCCUUUCCCAGAACUCUCUGCCAAGGAAACUUCCCAGGCCUGUCACAUCCUGCUUGGCAUCUUCCCACUAAUCCUUUGGCCUUUUUCCAGGUUUUUUUGGUCAAAAAUAUGGGAAAAGCCUAACAGCUGAUGGCAUGGGUAACUCAGAGCCAGGCUGGUACAAAGGAGAGGAGCACUGAAUGUCCCCGCCUUGAUUUCCUCACUUACUCAUCCACUGCAUUCUACCGAACCACCUCUGUUCCUUUGACCAAAAGCAUCUCCUGAAAUCCCAAACCUUGGAGAUCCAAACUCUUGAGUGAAAUCCCCAAGGUCUGCCCAAGGUCUGCCCACCUUCUCCUGGCUGUGCCAGGCCCAGCAGCCACUCCUGGGGAGCUGGAGGCAGAGGAAGGUCCCCGUGCCUCCUUGGCAAGUCUUCCACACCAGGGCCUGGGACAGGGACUUUUGAAGGGUUCUGAAGGGCUGGUGACCACAGGAGUGAGGGAGAAGACAAAUUCUGGGUUCUGCAGCUGGUUGAAAUCCCACCAAGUGUCCUGCCAGGCCUGGACCUUGUUCAUCCUUUGCCUUCUGUGGGUGCAGCAGCCACGAUUGCCCUCCAGAGCUGCUGUUCCUUCCCGACCAUGGCGGUGUCAAGGACAUCUCCACCAUCCUCCUUCAGGCUCUGCACAUCCUGCCAUCCCAGGUCACGGCCCUUUGGAUCAGUCUGGAACAGCACGGGCUCUGUUUCUGGGUCAGAACCUGAGGAAAUCAGCAUCUUCCACAGUCAGGGCUUUGAACACUCAGCUCCAGCUGGGAGGGGAGUGACCUUUCCAGAGCAGAAGGAUCCUUUCGGAAGCUGCCAGGAGAGCAUUUUGUUCCUGCACUGCUGAGUCCUUCACAGAGGGCUCUGGGCUGACUUUUCUCCUUCCCCUACUUUAAUUAUUUUCCUUACCUUGAGAUGACAGCCAGACUUGGAAGAAAAAAGCAAAAAACGAACUUUUUUAGGUGAAGUAUGAAAGAAAACGCAGCAAAGAGGUGCAGAGCAGGCCUUGCCUGUGUGAUCAGACCUUCCUGAGGUUCUCCAGCCCUUCCUGGAGGGACAGGGAAGGGAACAAGGAGCCUCUGUGUGACUGGGAAUAUUCCUCCUCUCCAUCUCCAUGGGCACAUGGACCUGCAAUGGCUCCACAGGACACGUGGCCCUGCCACACUGACAACUCUAUUUUGCUCCCACUCCGAGAUGAUUUACAGCCAAAAAAAAAUAAAACCCCAAAAAACAGUUAAGAUGCAAAAGCAAGAAAAUUGUGUCAAUGGUGUUUGGCUGUGGCCCAAGCCCAGGAACACAGCAGGCGUGGGAGCUCCCUUGGAUGUUUGUGCUUGAUGAACACCCACUUGAAACGGCUGAGGAAUUUCAAUAUUUGGACAGAUGGCUGGAUCCCAAAGCCGAGUUUAAAAUACAUAUGGAAGCUCUUCAGAAAUCACAGUCUCUUCCUUUGCUGGGAGUUAUUUCUUGGAAGAAAACAUUCUUCUUUUUUGUUUUUUGAAUGACCAGAGUUGGGGACCUCUUCCCACCAUGGGCUGCACUGGACCUGGGAUCAUUUCUUUACUUUGUCCCCCUCCAGGAUAUUGGGAAGGGCCAUCCUUGGGGUCACUGCCUUUAAAACAGACUGGGUUUUGUCUGCAGUCAAGGAGAGCUCUGGUGUCACCAGGUAACAAACUCUGACAGGCCCAUUUCCACACUCCAGCUCUCACCCACCCACCCGCAAGGUGCUGCUCCUUCUGCUCAUCCCAGCCUGGAUGGACCCUGGGGGUUGUUCCCAGCCCAGGUGCAGCCCUUUAAGGUGGCUGUUGGCAGGAUCAAACCCCAAGCAGGUGCCUCCAGAUCCUACAGAUCCCAUGGAUCCUAUGGAGCAGAGCCCUGGAGCCAGCCCUCCCUCCCAAGCAGAGUGGGACCCUCACAAAUCACCCACUGCAGACAGAAUCUCACUGAGGAUGGAGAUAUUUGCUCUGUUAGCAUGGCAAACAUGCACUCCUAGUCUUGUUGGCGUGUAAACUGCCUGGAAGCUCUUUUUUCCCAAGGAAUGUAUUAUUCAAUCCCUCUUUGAUCAUCCAGGGAUAGAAGCCUCAGCUAUGUUCUGUGCACAUAAAACAACUAUUUUUUUUGUUGCGGAGACCCAAGCAGGUUGGUUUAGUGACAGUGAUUUAUGGAGAGCUCCCUUUUUGCAGGCUAUAAUGUUAAUUAAUUGUUUCUGGAGGACUUGGAUAAAAAGUAUAUUUACUCCUGCCACAGUCAAACGCUCAAUAUUUUGUGCAUUCCCCAAAUCCUUCCCAUGGAUGUCCACAGAACAAUGGCCCAGCAAACGAGGCAGCUGCAGGAGGAGAUCAGACACAAUUCUGAAAUGGUCAAUUAUUUAGAUUAAUUAAUGAGUAAUGCCUCUGCAUGCAUUUUGCAUGUCAUUUGAAUAUUCCAAAGCCAGAGCUUUCAGCUGUUACUGUGCCUCUGGCAGAGCCACAUUCCUUGCAGCAAUCACAGGGAAUGCUGCUCUGCAGAAACUUUGGGAUUUCUGUGUGCCAGGAGUCCUUGGGAAACCCAGCAGCAUCUCUGAGGACCAGCAGUUCCUGCUGUUUAAACUGCUUCCAGGGCAGAGAAAGCUCUGUAGGUAUCUCAGGAGUAGGGAGCAUCCCGUGGGAUUGGUUCUGUAAAUGCCUGGAACCUGCACUCAGAUCCUUAUCUGUAGUCAGGCACCUCCCUCCCACAAAAUUACCAGGGAUUGUGUGCUUUUAAGAAUCCUACCGGGUGCUUAUUUGCAUUUUUAUGUGCCUGGCUGCAUUAAAA